GGCUUAGCUCAGUUGGCAGAGCAGCUGAUUUGUAAUCAGCAGGUCGUCGGUUCGAGUCCGACCGCC
rnacentral:tRNA from 1 species